UGGACAACACCUAUAUCCUGAGAGAGGGAGAGGGAAGUGCGGGGAGGUGUAGAGCAGGACCACUGACUGACUAGACCUGCUAGCCAUUCACACAAGCCUUGGAAUCCAAACUUCAGAAGGACCCAAUUCAGUACAGCGUAUACAGAUGGACUGUGGGGAAUUAAAGGAUUAAAUGCAGGCAGUUAAGUGGUGGAGGCAGUAGUGGGGGGGCUAGGGAAGACAUUUGCUAAUGCUCCCCGAUUUUAAUUGAAACUAACAGGGGAAAGAGAAGGGGAACACAAUGCUAAGAGCCCUAAGAAGGAGAACAAGUCCUUGAUGUCAGGAAGCUGGAGCAGACCUAGGUUAUGUCAGGUGAGAGUUUGUUUAUGGUGAAACGCUGCAUGAAUCUGCUGUUGGCUGUUAUCUCUGACAGGAAGUCAGGAACAUACAGUGUGAGCCCAGCCUGUCGUCUUGGGCUCUUAAUGGCUCAUGUCUCAAACAAUGGCCACACAAAAUGCCUUCACAUUGCCAUUGUUAGUCACUGUUUAAUACUUCUCCACUAGGAGUGUAUGUUUUGGUGGGGGUUGGUUGUAGAAUUGAAAAGGCAUUGUCUUACAUGUAGGGUUGAAAAACUAUUGUCUUUUUCCUUGUAUGAAUAAAACUAUUUUAUUUGUUAUAUUGUGCCUUGCUACUGUGAAGAGUCAUGCUUCACAUCAUAAAAGCAAAACGUGCCUGGUUGUUGCAUUUUUUGUAAAACAUCAGUAUUAAUUGAAUGUGAGUGUUACAUAGGUUGUAACCAAUGGGGGUAAGUUAGGUUUCAAGCAUUGGUUGGGGACCAAAUCAGCCCUGAACCCCCACCCCCCUAAACACACACGGUACUAGAGGUUUUAAAAUCGCCCGUCUGGCACCCAUUCAUAAGCUGAAGGGUGGAGCUGAGGGGAACCGUGAUUUUGUGACGUCCUCUAUUUGUGCGUCCCCUCUUUGAAUGAAGGGCCCAUUAGCCAAUAGAAACGAAGCAGCAGCAGUCAGCGCCACUUUCAAACAGGAAGGUAAGUGAUUUCUUGUUCUCCAUAACAGCAGUUGGAAUUAAUGUGUGAGUCGUUAUAAUACCUGAAAUCAAACAAGUGGACAAUUUGCGCACUUCAUACAGAGACUAGUCAUGGGAAGUUCGACUCAAUUAACUGAUUCGAUUCUUUCGAACGUCCGUUGUAAUGAAUCGAUUCUAUGAUUCACUUUUUUUUCUCGUCUCGUCCGUUGUGAUGAAUCGAUUCUAAAAUCGAUUCUAUGAUUCGCUUUUUUUUUCUCGUCUUUUGACAGUAUGACUCAACGAAUCAUCAUGGGAUCGGAUAAUAAAUCGAACGGUGUGCUAAGGUUGCGUUAUUUGACUGAAAGAUGGCGCUGGUGUUCAACAAAAAUGUUCAACUUGACUAUUAACAAUAAAAAAAAAAACUAUAUAAAAA